rnacentral:rRNA from 1 species
UACAGGGGGUGCAAACGUUGCUCGGAAUCAUUGGGCGUAAAGCGCACGUAGGCGGUUCGUUAUGUCGGAUGUGAAAGCCCUUGGCUUAACCGAGGAAGUGCACCCGAAACUGGCGAGCUUGAGUACGAAAGAGGAUCGCGGAAUUCCCGGUGUAGAGGUGAAAUUCGUAGAUAUUCGCAAGAACACCAGUGGCGAAGGGCGGCUCGACUGG